rnacentral:rRNA from 1 species
CCUACGGGGGGCUGCAGUCGAGAAUCUUCGGCAAUGGGCGCAAGCCUGACCGAGCGACGCCGCGUGUGGGAUGAAGGCCCUUGGGUUGUAAACCACUGUCAGAGGGGAUGAAAUGCGGGAGAGCUAUCUCUUCCGUUUGACAUAGCCUCAGAGGAAGCACGGGCUAAGUUCGUGCCAGCAGCCGCGGUAAUACGAACUGUGCAAACGUUAUUCGGAAUCACUGGGCUUACAGGGUGCGUAGGCGGUCUGUUAAGUAGGGUGUGAAAGCCCCCGGC